AGAGUUUGAUCCUGGCUCAGGAUGAACGCUGGCGGCGUGCUUAACACAUGCAAGUCGAACGAGAACCAACGGAUUGAGGAUUCGUCCAAAUGAAGUUGGGGAAAGUGGCGGACGGGUGAGUAACGCGUGAGCAAUCUGCCUUGGAGUGGGGAAUAACGGUUGGAAACAGCCGCUAAUACCGCAUGACGCGUCUGGGAGGCAUCUCUCUGGACGCCAAAGAUUUAUCGCUCUGAGAUGAGCUCGCGUCUGAUUAGCUAGUUGGCGGGGCAACGGCCCACCAAGGCGACGAUCAGUAGCCGGACUGAGAGGUUGGCCGGCCACAUUGGGACUGAGACACGGCCCAGACUCCUACGGGAGGCAGCAGUGGGGAAUAUUGGGCAAUGGGCGCAAGCCUGACCCAGCAACGCCGCGUGAAGGAAGAAGGCUUUCGGGUUGUAAACUUCUUUUAAGGGGGACGAACAAAUGACGGUACCCCUUGAAUAAGCCACGGCUAACUACGUG
rnacentral:rRNA from 1 species